rnacentral:lncRNA from 1 species
AUCUGCAUUGGUGUAGGCUUGGAUGAUGUUGGCACCAUCGUGGCAGGCUUCAUCGGAGAUGGUGACGUGGGCAUGAACUGAUACGAUGGUUACCUGGACCUGGUUCAGGUUGGUAUUUACAGACCUGUACUCCUACAACUUGUUUUGUCUGGCAAAUGUACUACUACAACUUUGCUGCACAAUAAUACAUUGUAGAUAAUCACGCCCCUGACGAGCUGAUGUAUGUUCUGAGCUUAAUGAGCUGUUGUUUACUAUAUAUACUCCCUGUUUCAUCCAGGAACCGCGAGGUUGUCGGUUCUUAGGUUUCUUUUAGUUGUGGUUCUGCCGCUCCUCUGCUUAUGCUUGGUGGCACGCUCGCGGCGUCCAACAGAGCAUUUCUGAUGUUAUGUUGGCCUUGUUUGUCGUGCGUUGUCUUGUUUUUUAUUUGAUCAGUUUGCAUGAGGAUUUC